UACGGAGGAGGCAAGCGUUAUCCGGAAUUAUUGGGCGUAAAGCGUCCGCAGGUGGCACCUCAAGUCUGCUGUCAAAGACCGGGGCUUAAUCCCAGAAAGGCAGUGGAAACUGAAGUGCUAGAGUGCAGUAGGGGUAGAGGGAAUUCCCGGUGUAGCGGUGAAAUGCGUAGAGAUCGGGAAGAACAUCGGUGGCGAAAGCGCUCUGCUGGACUGCAACUGACACUCAGGGACGAAAGCUAGGGGAGCGAAUGGG
rnacentral:rRNA from 1 species